rnacentral:rRNA from 1 species
AUUGAACGCUGGCGGCAGGCCUAACACAUGCAAGUCGAGCGGAGCGGCAGACGGGUGAGUAAUGCCUAGGCAUCUGCCUGGUCGUGGGGGAUAGCGUCCGGAAACGGGCGCGAAUACCGAAUACUAUCAGAUAAGCCUAGGUCGGAUUAGCUAGUUGGUGGGGUAAAGGCCGACCAAGGCGACGAUCAGUAACUGGUAUGAGAGGAUGAUCAGUCACACUGGAACUGAGACACGGUCCAGACUCCUACGGGAGGCAGCAGUGGGGAAUAUUGGACAAUGGGCGCAAGCCUGAUCCAGCCAUGCCGCGUGUGUGAAGAAGGUCUUCGGAUUGUAAAGCACUUUAAGUUGGGAGGCGUUACCAACAGAAUAAGCACCGGCUAACUCCGUGCCAGCCGCCGCGGUAAUUC